UACAGAGGUCCCAAGCGUUGUUCGGAUUCACUGGGCGUAAAGGGUGCGUAGGUGGUGGGGUAAGUCGGAUGUGAAAGCUCGGAGCUCAACUCCGAAAUGGCAUUGGAAACUACCCUGCUAGAGGAUUGGAGGGGGGACUGGAAUACUUGGUGUAGCAGUGAAAUGCGUAGAGAUCAUGAGGAAGACCAGUGGCGAAGGCGGGUCUCUGGACAGUUCCUGACACUGAGACACGAAGGCCAGGGGAGCAAACGGG
rnacentral:rRNA from 1 species